GAUGAACGCUGGCGGCGUGCCUAAUACAUGCAAGUCGAGCGAAGCGGGGACGGGUGAGUAACACGUGGAUAACCUCCUAUAAGACUGGGAUAACUUCGUGAAACCGGAGCUAAACCGGAUUCUUUUACCUGGUUCUGGGCUGCAUUAGCUAGUUGGUAGGGUAACGGCUUACCAAGUCCACGAUGCAUAGCCGAACUGAGAGGGUGAUCGGCCACACUGGAACUGAGACACGGUCCAGACUCCUACGGGAGGCAGCAGUAGGGAAUCUUCCGCAAUGGGCGAAAGCCUGACGGAGCAACGCCGCGUGAGUGAUGAAGGUCUUCGGAUCGUAAAACACUGUUAUUAGGGAAGCGGUACCUAAUCAGAAAGCCACGGCUAACUACGUGCCAGCCGCCGCGGUAAUAC
rnacentral:rRNA from 1 species